CAAGCCCAGCACAGACUUCGGUUUCUCCGCCUCCAUCCCCUUUACGAGAAGAGGAGAUUUAAAAAUAUUGCCCUUUAGGUGCUCGUGAUGGUCCUGUGGGUUCGUUCAGUUGCCAGAAAAGAAUGGUAACAUGAACAGCGGAGCGUGAGAGCGUCACCGGGGGAAGGGACGAGAUUGAUGGGCAGAGCGCUCACUUCUCAGAGGAUCGCAUUCCGAGGACCGCGCGAGGAAGGGACGUCGCGGCGCCACCACUUCCUGGCUGGACUCCGCUGACAUCUGUAGCCUCCUUUCCACCAGGUUCCCGGGGCUCCCAGCCGCUGCCUGCAGAGGAGCGUGUAGACAGCGCGCGAGGGUCCGGGAGUUCGUGGACCUCCAUCCGAACCGGAGUUCUGCCCGGAUCCCGAGUCCCUGGAUCCCGGUGGAGCCCGCCGGCAAGCUGGCUCCGGAGGGAGUUGAACUUGAGUUCAGAUGGCCAACUCCCUCUGAAUCCUGCAGAUUGGUGCUGAGCACGCAACAAAAGUUUGUAGCUUCUCAGUUUCUGGUGCUUCGCAGGGGAGAGGAAAGGAAUUUGACAUUAAACACAAGAAGCAGUCAGGGAGCCAUCUCCUUUAACUUUUCUUCUCUGUUACCAUUUGCAAUGAAGAGGAAACAGAAGAGAUUUCUGCAGAUGACUUUGUUGUUCACGGUGGCUUUAAUUUUCCUGCCUAACGUUGGUCUCUGGUCUCUGUACAAGGAUAAGCACCUGGUGAAGUCAGCGGAGCCCGGGGAGCAGCAGGAAUUCAACUUUGGUUUGAAGUAUAUUCUGUUUUGUCAUUCCAGUGAAAAAAAGAAGAUGGACACUUUGGAUGUGAAACUUUUUUUGUUCUUAUUUACAUCAUUCAACCCUUGAUGUAAAACAGGAUUUUAAUAACUUUAGUAGUCAAUAUGCUAUUAUGUAAAAUCUCCACUCCAUGCUGGUAAAACAGGAAAGGCAAAAUUAUUUUUUCUUGAAAUUUGCUAAUUCAAUUAACAAUAACCAUCUGAAGUAUUUGCUGGUAUAGCUAACAUAAAGCGCUAAUUAAUUUUAUUAAUGAGAUUCUUACAACCUUCACAUUGACUCUAUUAAUUUUGACCCUUAAUGAGAAAAUUGUUUGUCU
rnacentral:sRNA from 1 species